UGCCAGCAGCCGCGGUAAUACAGAGGUCUCAAGCGUUGUUCGGAAUUACUGGGCGUAAAGCGUGCGUAGGCGGCGAGGUAAGUCAGAUGUGAAAGCUCAGGGCUCAACCCUGAUACUGCAUCCGAUACUGCCUUGCUAGAGUAGUGGAGGGGAGUCUGGAAUUCACGGUGUAGCAGUGAAAUGCGUAGAUAUCGUGAGGAACACUAGUGGCGAAGGCGAGACUCUGGACACUUACUGACGCUGAGGCACGAAGGCCAGGGUAGCGAAAGGGAUUAGAUA
rnacentral:rRNA from 1 species